rnacentral:rRNA from 1 species
AGGAUGAACGCUGGCGGCGUGCCUAAUACAUGCAAGUCGAGCGGUAAGGCCCCUUCGGGGUACACGAGCGGCGGACGGCUGAGUAACACGUAGGAACGUACCCAAAGUGAGGCAUAAGCACCAGAAAUGGUGUCUAAUACCGCAUGUGAUCUUCGGAUUAAAGCUUCGGCGCUUUGGGAACGGCCUGCGCAUGAUUAGCUUGUUGGUGAGGUAAUAGCUCACCAAGGCGACGAUCAUUAGCUGGUCUGAGAGGAUGACCAGCCAGACUGGGACUGAGAACGGCCCAGACUCCUACGGGAGGCAGCAGUAGGGAAUUUUCCACAAUGGGCGAAAGCCUGAUGGAGCAACGCGCGUGCAGGAUGAAUGCCUUCGGGUUGUAAACUGCUUUUAUCUGUGACGAUUAUGACGGUAGCAGAUGAAUAAGGAUCGGCUAACUCCGUGCCAGCAGCCGCGGU